UGUUGGGCUUGUACUCUCAUUGCUUAACCUUAACGAGAAGCCACACGGCAAGGAAAUCUUCAUGUAGUCCAUGCAGGGGACAAGAGCCCAGACCUUGCUGAGCUGUGGGUGGCAGAAACAAGAGAGCUGUAACAUACCCGUGUUUGCCAUGCUGCCAGCAUGAAGAAGUGAAGCCACUGGAUACCACUCCCUACUGCUUGCUGAGCAAUGGAUACACAUGUCAGAGUGUGUAUUUAGAGAUAAACUGACAUCCAAUCUGCAGCCUGCAUGCAAAAGUCUUACGCAAAAAAGAAAGAAGCUCUAAAGCAAGUGUGGUAAAAUGUUAACAUUUGAGAAUUUGAAAGAAAG